rnacentral:rRNA from 1 species
GGCGCACGGGUGAGUAACACGUAGGUCAUCUACCCCCGAGUGGUGGACAACUCCCCGAAAGGGGAGCUAAUACAGCGUAAGACCACGACCUCGCUGAGGUUGCGGCCAAAGCGGGCCACUACUUGUAAGCUCGCGCUUGGGGAUGAGCCUGCGGCCCAUCAGCUUGUUGGUAGGGUAACGGCCUACCAAGGCUAAGACGGGUAGCUGGUCUGAGAGGAUGAGCAGCCACACUGGAACUGAGACACGGUCCAGACUCCUACGGGAGGCAGCAGUGGGGAAUUUUGCGCAAUGGGCGAAAGCCUGACGCAGCGACGCCGCGUGAGCGAUGAAGGCCCUCGGGUUGUAAAGCUCUGUGGAGAGGGAAGAAUAAAGGCGGGCUAAUACCCCGCACGAUGACGGUACCUCUUUAGCAAGCACCGGCUAACUCUGUGCCAGCAGCCGCGGUAAGACAGAGGGUGCAAACGUUGUUCGGAAUUACUGGGCGUAAAGCGCGUGUAGGCGGCCAUGCAAGUCGGGUGUGAAAUCCCACGGCUCAACCGUGGAAGUGCACUC